CAACCCUUGUCUUUAAUUGCCAUCAUUUAGUUGGGCACUUUAAAGAGACUGCCGGUGUUAAGCCGGAGGAAGGUGGGGAUGACGUCAAGUCCUCAUGGCCUUUAUGCCCAGGGCUACACACGUGCUACAAUGGGCGGUACAAAGAGAAGCAACCUCGCGAGGGUGAGCAAAUCUCAAAAAGCCGUUCUCAGUUCGGAUUGUAGGCUGCAACUCGCCUACAUGAAGUCGGAAUCGCUAGUAAUCGCGGAUCAGCACGCCGCGGUGAAUACGUUCCCGGGCCUU
rnacentral:rRNA from 1 species